CGCGCAGCGGCCGUUAGUGGCUGUGGUAGUUACGGCGCCGGCGGGCGCGCGUGAGGAGAACGCACUCCCGCGGCCGCUCUGUGCCUCUCAAUGGGCUCCAGCUCUGCCCAGCUGAGGCGGCCGUGCCUCCCUGAGGCCAGGCGUGAGGCUCGUGCACAAAGCCUGCCCCGCGCGUCCCGGCGGGGACGCGGAGCGUACAUGCGAGUCAGCGUGGCUUGUCGUGUAACUUCCAGGCACUUCGGACUUAUGCGGCGUUAUGAUGGGUACCCACACCAGAUGAUGUGUGUAAAUGCAAAAUGUUUCUCCAGUGACCACUUGACAGCAACUGAACGUUUACUGACAACUCCUAGUCUUCCUGUUAAGAGAGUAUCAUUAGUCUCUGUAACAGUAAGUAAACCCACUGCUUCUCCUGCUUAUCAGACAUGCUUCCUUCCUGUGACAUGAAUUAUAUCACCACACUGAUGGGAAGAAGAGUAAAGGGAUUUUUUUUAAUAGUUGUUUUAUCUAUCACUUUCACUGAAGCAGAAAUUCUAGACUGAUUCACGAAUGGAAACCCCAAACACCAUGCAGCAAAGCGUUCAUC
rnacentral:lncRNA from 1 species